rnacentral:lncRNA from 1 species
GAGCAAUUUGCCAAGAGUACCUCCAACCUAUUAUCCUGGAACAAUUUCCCUCAGAGGUUUUUUUGACUUCAAAGAAGACUACGUGUAGAUGGAUGGCAGGAGAAAUAGGCCCCAGAUGGGGAUGCUAUCAGCACCCAUGGGUUCCCAUCUCUGGAAAUGUUCACAUUUUAAAAUUGCAGAGUUAGGCUCUGGUCACCUUUUGGGGGCACUCUUUGAGGUGUGUCAUUCAACUAUUAAUUUUAUACUUCAAAGAGAGUUCACUUUAUGAAUGCAGCUGCAGAACGUUGAAAAUAUUAUCCCCACCACUGUGGUCUCCUCCAGUUUUGUCUUUAAAAUAACAAUGUCAGC